GGCAGCAGCCAUAUCACCCUGCAGCUCACAGCCGGAACCCCACUGAAGCUCAUCAGGUGUGAGUCUGGUCAGUACCUGGAUGGGAGACUCCUGGGGAAAGCUAAGGCUGCUGCUG
rnacentral:rRNA from 1 species